UGGGGAAUAUUGGACAAUGGGCGAAAGCCUGAUCCAGCCAUGCCGCGUGAGUGAAGAAGGCCUUAGGGUUGUAAAGCUCUUUCGGCGGGGACGAUAAUAACGGUACCCGCAGAAGAAGCCCCGGCUAACUCCGUGCCAGCAGCCGCGGUAAUACGGAGGGGGCUAGCGUUGUUCGGAUUUAUUGGGCGUAAAGCGCGCGUAGGCGGGCUGUUAAGUCGGGGGUGAAAUCCUGGGGCUCAACCUCAGAAUUGCCUUCGAUACUGGCAGCCUCGAGUACGGGAGAGGUGAGUGGAAUUCCCAGUGUAGCGGUGAAAUGCGUAGAUAUUGGGAGGAACACCGGUGGCGAAGGCGGCACUCUGGACCGGUACUGACGCUGAGGCGCGAAAGCUAGGGGAGCAAACGGGAUUAGAUACCCCGGUAGUCCUAGCUGUAAACGAUGAGCACUUGGUGUGGCGGGUAUCGGCCCCUGCCGUGCCGAAGCUAACGCAUUAAGUGCUCCGCCUGGGGAGUACGGUCGCAAGGCUG
rnacentral:rRNA from 1 species